GUGCGCCUGCUCAGAGCAUGCACAAUCAACCUCGAGGGCUGCGUGUUCUAACCGCUCUUCACUGGCCUCUGGGCUUCUCAUUGUGCGCAGCCCACUGACACCUCAGAGCUCCCGGCACCUCAGCUGAGUCCUCAUUUUCUUCUGCUUUUGCCACCUUGGCUUCACCUCACUCAGACAGGCUCAGUGCCCAGUUCUGGGUGUCCUUCCCUCCCGGGCUGCUUGGAAGUGAGCCGCCCUCGGGUGCUUGCCAUCUGGGGACCAUCUAGAAGUUAAAUAUCCUUUCCAGAUGGGCAAAUAGACUUCAGCCUGUUCACCACUUAAGACAGUCAGUUAUGUUUCGAAGCUGAUGACAUCGGUCCCUCGCAUAAUCUUGCUACUACAAGAUUGAGGUGAAGAUUCUGGGAAACUCCAGGAGGAGCUACGCCCACCAAAGAAUGGAAGAAAGGUCUAUCCCACCGUGUACUUAUACAGAGCACCCUCAGAGUGGUACUCGCUUCUCCUGCGAUCAUUCUUUAAGACUUUAAGUUUUUAAGAGGAGUCAGUGAAGUUGGCUCGGAUAAGAAGCCAGUCACCUCAUGUGAGUUCGUUGGCCAAUGCCUUGCUUUGUGGCCGGUUGUUGUGCUUCUUUCAAACAGAGACUUUUGCGAGCAGGGCUCCGCUAGAGUCUCUGGCUCAGCCUCAUCCAGUUCUUUCCUGCCAGAGAGGGUAACGAAGCCAUUGAGUUGACCCGGAAGGAAUGCUUUUCCAUGUUGGGACCGGGAAGAGGCCUUCUUCACCCGCCUUUCUCAGUCUCAGUUUUCAUCGUCCGUCGCAGAAUCUUCAAUGCUGCUGCUACAGCCACUGCUACUGUUGCAGAGGGAGGCGAUCUCUCCGCACCCUGUUGGUUUCCUUUAUAGGAUUCAUCAAGGACCCGCGUUUAGAGAUAACUGAGUGCUAACAGCUUAGUGUCUUAGCAGACCAAAGCUAUAUCAGACGGCAGUGCCAAUCAGCCUGCUAGGUCUUUCUCCUCUCAUGCUGUAGACUGGACUGUUGGGAUCCUAUUUUAUUUGUUGGCUACUGAAGUACUUUCAGUCAUCGAGUUUUCUGACUUGUCCCCAAUCUUGUCUGACCCUUGACCCUCACAACAAAAGUGUAGUGAAGUGUUUUUGUUUUUUUGUUUUUGUUUUUAAAAUUUGAGCUGACCUUGGUUUAAAUUUUACAUCUGCUUUUGGUGUCCUACUCAGUAACUCCAGUGGAAAUUCUUGAAACCCAUGAAUUCCCAUUGCUCAGCCAUGGCUUACAAUAUCUUUUACUAUUGACCCCCUCAUGGUUCUAGCACCCCAGCUCUUUCCUCAUAGCCUGCCUCCUGCAUAAUGGAGUCACCUGCACCCAUGUAUGUGGAUUCUCCUCUCCCUUUCAUACUGACCAAUCCUCUAGAGACUUUUUCCAGUGACUUAACUCAUCAGUCCACCAUGGCCUCUGCAGUUAUGGCGUCCAUUCGGGGUCGAGAAACCAGGCCUACAUGACCAGGGCAGAUCUGUGGUGAUUGCAGGGGCCCAUACCACUUCUGUGCUUGGAGAGAACUCAGCUCAUGACUAGCCUGAUUAGAAUAUAGUUGUAGCAGCCCAAGGCCAAUGCCAUCUCUGGGCUGCAGCUCAGGGGCCCCAGAGAAGCCAGAAUUGAACUGCAUGGGGGAGCUGUGUUUUCUGCAUAAGGUCAGUGCAUGGUUGUUGCCUCCCUGUUAGAAGCAAACCUUUAAUAUUGAGGAGAUGGGAAUAAAUGUAGCAGGAAGGGGGGAUGGGCAGGUGUUUCUAGACUUCAGUGUGUACUCCCUCACAUAAACCCUGACCCCCUGUGUGUGGACAUCCCCAGAAAAGGUCCCAGGCUCUGCCAGCUUCUUGAAUUUAUGCUGUAGGGUGGUGGGCUGUGAAGAUAUCCUGAUUCCUGGUCAGGAUAGGUUUAAUCCCCAGGGGACCCAAAGGGACGGCAGUCUCCUAGGAGAUCAGGGCCAUCUCACAUAGCUGUAGCCCCCACAGACCCCUGUAGGCAGAUCAGUCACAGUCACAUAGGGCAACACCCCAAGCUUCUCCUCCACAGAUGAGGAUGUGACCUCAGGUCACUUAGGCUCAAGACAGAGCAGUCGCAGAAGCAGGACCACGCCCCCAAAUGUGUAGGUGAGGACUUCCCAAGCUCUGAGGCCAAAUCAAUAGAAGUACCUGCUGUCUGACACUGAACCGUCCAAAAGCUGUAUUUAAGAAUUGUGUUCAGAAGGAUUAAGAGUGUGUAGGAAUUAUUCCAUCAUCUGAGAGCUUCUGUCCUAAGAGCUGUAACUCUGCUGCUUGGGGAAAAGAUCCGCUCUCCUGAAAUCACGGCCAGAAGUUCCUCUGUGCCUAUUGCCGGCCAGUCAGUCUCCUGCUGGCCCAGCCUGGUCAACCAACCAAAGCGGCAGUGGCAGAGAGGAGGACCGGCAGGUCCUCAGGGGCUGUGAAAGCUGUUCCCCCUCCCUGCCCGAGUUCUCUUCCCUUCUCCUGAAUCCAGAUUUCCCCCAGUGCACACAGCCCCAUAUUAUGCUACUUUAAUAAACAAACAAACAAACAAAACCUUUCUUUGGGCCAAGAGCCACAGCUCAGCCCUGGUUUUGAGGUCAUUAAUGGGCAGUGGUAGGAGCUACUUUCCCAGUGCUUCUCUGGUUCCUGGCUUACCACCUUUUGUCUCUCAACAGCUCAAAGUUGCAGUCUCCACGUCUAUGCCUUUUUUUGACUUUGAUGGAAUUGAUGUGGGUACAAUGCCUCCUCCCCGACCCUUCCUCCCACUACCUCCUCCCCUUCACACUGUUCAUGGAUCAGCAUCUCAUAACUGUGUUUCUAUCACCUUGCCUGCACAGUUGUUCCACCGCCUAAGCACCACCCUUAAACUUCCUUUGGUGAUGAUAUGAUCAGGUAGGGCUCUUUAUCCUCUGUUUGGAGCUUCUGCUAUGACAGCUCCUCCUUUGCCACAUCUUGGCCAUUCAAUUGGCAGCAAAACUCAAGUCAGCCUUGCGUGCCCGUCACGCAACGUAGCUUAGCAUCUUGUCCAUUGACAGAGCUACUGACAGAAAUCUGAGUGCAGGGGACAGUAAUCGGCCGUGUGUCCAUACUGCCACGAGACAACUUGUAGCCACAAGGUCUAUGGCCCAGGUGUCAGUUUUACGCCUGGAACACUUUUCUGCUUUCCUGAGGGAACACAGACAUUGACACCACGGUCUUGCUGUCUUGUAGCAAGCACUCUGGCUGAAAUAUACAGCGUAUCUCUGUGAAGAGCCCAUCUGUCCUUGGAGUCAUUCUUCUUUCAUGCCUAUGGUCAGUCAUAGUCAGCUGAGUGAAGGUGACCUCUUACUGUUGGGGGCGCAGGCAUCGCCGAGAAGAUGGGAACGCCAAGUGGCAAUGUUGUGCCUUCUUGCAGUCAAACGACCCGAGUGGGACCCAUUCUACCAGAGUGCAGCCUGUUGUAGUAGCAGGUGCUGCCAGUACCAUAUGUGUUGGGGGAGACUUCUCACCUCCUGUCAGAACUCUUGGUAAACCCCCUGGCGGAAACUUGGUAAACUUCUGGUGGGAGUGGAGGAUCUCAGCAUUCCUUUGACGUUUAGGGAGUCUUCUUGUGACCAGUCUGACUACCUGGGGCAUACCUGACCGGAACUCAUUUGUAGACAUCCCAAAGGCCAGGUUCACUUUCUGGGCUUAUAGGCUCUUACAUUCUCACAUAUAGGCACUGGGUUAUAUGGGCUGAAAGCAUUGUAGCAGGAGACCUAUAGGACUCAGGCUGGGGGCAGGGGAGAAGGGGCGGGGGUGUUUCUCUUUAUGCUCUCCUGAGCUGGGGAGAUUGUAGCCAAAAUGCUUUUGUUAUAGUCAGAGGGACCAAGACUGUGUUUUAGUGUGGCAUAGCUCUUUUUUUUUUCCUUUGCCUCAGUCAAAAUACCUGGUCAACAAGUUAUGGUACCUCCUUCAACUUUUGGGGAGACAGCACCGCUGAGGUAUCACCUGUGUUUGAAGGUAUUAAGAACUUUUGGGUUAGGAUAUCGAAGCUCUGGUGUGCACAUGUUUUGCAAGUGCUAUGUCUUUAUCAAACCCAGAAGUGUUUGUUGGGGACAGAGGGGUCAUAGGAACACCGACCGUUCUUUUUUUCCUGGUUCAGGGUCUCUGCAAAGUAAAGAAGCAAAAGCUACUUAAAAGCCAAAGCAACUGCCCUCCUCAGAAGACUGUGAAGAGGAUCAGUUGCAAAUAUUCAGGCCAAAUGAACUUCACUUUCUAACUUCUCCUGCCAACUUCUGAAGUAAGGGAUGUCAGGCUAGGUGGACACAAGGCUCCAGGACACAGAGGCAGGAUGAUGUGGUCUUGCUUCAUUUUUGUCAGCUGCUUCCCAGUGCUCCAAUGUCCCUGCUGGUGGCAUUGUCCCAGAUGCGUGUUGGAAACUCUACCUGAUGUUCCUCCCUUAACAUAUUUCAAUGCCUCUUUUAGUGCGUGAUCUAUUAAAAACCAAUGGGAUGUAAGCCUGCUUCUGUCUCCAUGGCUAUGACGAAGUACCUAAGACUGGGAAGUUUAUAAACAGAGACAUGGAGGUUGGGGUGUCCACGAUCAAAGGCACCAGCAGGUUCACUGUCGUUGAGGAUGUCUUUCUCCUACUUGAUACCAUGUUACAUGUCCUCAGAUAUGGAAGGAAGAAUGGGUCUGAGGAUGUGUUCAUUGCCAUAAAAGUGGAAGAUUACACCCUUUGAUAAAGGUCCUGACCCCCACUCAUAGGGAAUCCAUGAGUUAAUAACCCAAUGUAGGCUCAUCUCUUGGUGCUUAUCACACUGACUGGUGAUAUUUCCCAUGUGAAGUUUGGGGAGCAUCCUUAGCCCAAAGUACGAAACAGUGCCCACACCUUAUGUCACUUUGAAGGGAUAAAUUGAGCAUCUGGAAGCACAAAGGAUGGGCAGGCUGGCACCUAUUCCGCAGUGAUUGAAAACAUUAUGUCUGAACCAUUAUUAGCUGCUGCUUAAAACUCUUAAAAUGCCCCUUAACCAGAAUGCUCAGAUUAGGGGUCCAUUAGGAAAAAGGCCUAGUUCAAUCUGGCUCCAGUCUGCCAUAAAUCUCAAACAGCAAGCAUCACAGUUGUCCCCGGUAGGGUAGGGUUGGGUUGGCCUUGUGUUCUGCUGGGCCACCACUGGAUCUGGGUUCCAUCAAUGCAAGCUUUCUCGAGGUCCUUCAAUAGGAGAGCGCACUUAAGAUGGGAGAGAGUAGUGUGGGCACGUCCCCUCAGCUCUACACUUUCUCUUGGGCUUGGAUUCCGUUCCGCCCCUACAAUCAUAGACCAUGUGAUGUGCUUGUCCUAGAGAGCAGAAUGUGCACUCUCUCUCAGUGGUGUUUACAAUGGGAGAUGGACAAAGUGGGAAAGACCGAUGAAGAGACUCAGAGUUGCAAUUGGAAGGUCACUGUUGUAAGUAGGUCCUGAAACUGAAGUGAUGGGUAGAAGUAACUCCAGUUGCAUCUUGAAGUAAGAGGAAGCAGCAAGGUAGAAAUGGGCUGUUUCCAAGCCAAGGAAAUGAUGUGUGAAAAGUCCAGAAAGGGGAAGCAUUAUGAGCAGGACUCGGGCAGGGAGUCGCAAUUAACUGGUAAGCCAGUUUGGACUGGGAUUUAGAGUUCUAGGAUUUGGCAGAAAGAGAUCGAACUUACUGUUACAGUAAGUGCUUUAGAAACCUAUCUAUUGAGUCCUUUAUCAAAGAGUCAAGAGGCCUUAGGCUCAAGACCAACUGCUGCCCAGAGACAGAGCAAAGGGAAAUGCCACAGUCAUGCAUAGACAUGACAGACUUGGAAAAGUGAGAAGCAGUAGAUGUGACAGCAGAGAGAGAAGGCAAGGAGGUGACUUAGAUGCCUGGGACAGCAAUGGCCUAGCCGGGCUAAGAGGGAGGCAUAUAGGAUGAUGAAGAGGGUCAUAACUUUGUGGAAUCUCUCUCUCUCUCUCUCUCUCUCUCUCUCUCUCUCUCUCUCUCUCUCUCGUGUGUGUGUGUGUGUGUGUGUGUGUGUGUGCGCGCGCGCACGCGAGCGCGCGCACACAUGGGUAGAGGGGUGCUCAGCAAAUCAUCAGAUUUCCUGGGAGCUGGACUUAUGGGCAUUUGUGGGCCAUGUGAUGUGAGUGGCAGGGAUCUGAAUAGUGAUUACAAAGUGAAAUAGAGCCUGUUUACAGCAGGAAGAAUUUCCCAAGAUUAAAAUUUUUUUUUUUUAUCCUCGAAGACAGUACUGUCAACAUCCAAAAGUCUUCAUUUUAAAAACAUACAGGAGAUUCAAAGCAAGAAGGUCAAACCUCUCAGGGAAAUGGAAGACACGAAUUUGAUAAGGCAGAGACUGGGAAAACACUUGCAAAAUCCACCUGAAGUGGAUAUGGUGGCUUAUAGAAUCUCCACACUUGAAAUACUAAGGCAGGAAGAUUGCUGUGAGUAUGUGGUCAGCCUAGACUACACAGCGAGUUUGAGGUCAGCUUGGGUUAUUGAGUGAGCACUUGCGUCAAAACAAAACCUACCAAGAAUGAAACGCCCACCCAGAACGAAAGUGUAUCUAGCAAAUGAUCAGUGUGCAGAAUACAUGAAAACAGUCUCACACCCAACGACAAAAUGCUAAGGCACACGGCAGAGUAAUUUCAAGAUUUGUGCAUUUCAUUAUGAGAGAAGCCCACAUGUAUCUAGUAAGAACAUUUGAAAGCACUUCAUUAUUUAUUGGGGAAAUGAGGAAAUUAAAACCAUAUCGAGAUGUCCUCACAGAUCAAAUUUGAGAAAUGUCAGCUGGGCCAUAAAGCUCUUAGAACUCUCUUAGGUCUCAAACAGUGCUGUGGGAGAAAUUCACAUAUGUAGGAGCCAGGAUCCAGGCAGGGGUGAGGGAGGCACAGUCCAGAAAACAGACUCUGGAGACCAGCGUCGGUCUGUGGGAAGUGGGUGUAGCGGCAAUCCCAAGAUGGCGCCUAGGGAGUCUUAAGGCUAGCACCUGAAAGUAAGCCACGCCUCAUCGUGAGAGCUGCGCAGGCGCACCAUGACGCUAGAUCAGGCCAUGUGAUGUGGACCUAUGAACGGAGGUUACGCAGACUGGACGGUUGAGGCGGAGUUGAGGGAGGUUGUAAGGGAGUGCGCUUGGGGGCUGGAGAGAGAUCGUUGCUGCUUGCAGACAAAAGGGUUCCUGAAUAAACUGCUUUGAGACUGCUUUGGUGUCGCUCCUUUCCUGCUGGUCGGGGUUGGAAGCGACAUCAGUCGAAGUGCAGAUCUACUGUAUUAUUACCUAGCAUUUUUUGUACAGCCUUUGGACCAAUGUGGAAUCAGCAUGAGCUCUGGAGUAGCCAACCAUACCGCUGUUACUAUGGGGAGGUGCCAGACUCCCUGGACCUGAGAGGACUUCCUUAAAGAUGGGGGAAACUGUCACCACCCUGUUUUGGGCCCAUUCUGAUUUUCCACCAGUUUGCUAGGACUGUUUAUUUCAUGUCACCAAGUAUGCCAUCAUAUGUGGACACUCAUUCUACUAGGGUGUUAUGGAAGCCUCUCUCACUGUCCUCCAGACCCCAUCCAGGGGCCGCAGCACCCACACCCAUAGGGCAUCAUGAAGCUAACCAUAUCCUCAUCCCAACUACACAGUUUUAUUUGUUUAUUCUCGAGAAUGAAAACCUAUGAAUACUGAAAGUCUACCAAAGUGUUCCCAACAGGUUUAUCUGUAGUAGAAGUUGGCAACAUUUUCAGCCACUUGAGUGCUUACCCAGCCAUCAGCAGGCAAGAACAUGGAGAAUCUCAAAUCCUUUACAUGAGCAGGAAGCAUGGAAGAGUGCUCUGUGUACGCAUGUGCAUGGAAAAUGCUAGAACCACCAAAGCUAAGCAGAAGGGGUUGGAGAGAUAGCUCAAUUGGUAAAACACUUGCCUUGUAAGUGUGGGAACCUGAAUGCAGUCCUCGGAACCCACAUAAUUAAAAAAGUUGGGUGUGGUAGCAUGUAAUUAUCUUCCAGAAAAAUGUGACCUUGGUCUGUCAGGACAAGGAACUGGAUCCAGCUACGAACCCUACCAUGAUGACUUCAGCUUUGUGGUACCCCUAACAGGGAGCCUGUCUGCUUGCAAGAGGCCUCCUGAUCCCUGGAGACCGAGAUACUGCAAGUCUUUUAGUUUGUGGUGAUUCAGUAUUUAGUGAUUAAAAAGUAAUUGGUCACAUAUCCAGUGACAUAGGAAGGCAUUUGAGCAUUUUCCAGUCCCAGGACGUACCUGGAGGUAAGUUAUGGGAUAGAAGGAAGUGAGUGCUUGAACUCCUUGGAGGCAGAACUACAGGAAGAUGAGGAAAAAGCCUGGGAGAAUGUGUUGCCUAAACUGAACCAAGAGGUGGGCAUUGUUUUUACGGGGGUUUGGUGCAAGAUGGGAAUUUCCAGGCUUCCAAAGCCACCAUACUUCUGUAUCCUCAGAUGAGAUUCAAAACCUUGCCCAUGGGAAGAAGCUGUGAUUGUUUGUAUAUGCUCGGCCCAGGAAUUGACACUACUAGAAACUGGGGUGGGCAUAGCCCUGUUGGAGUAGGUGUGCCACUGUGGGUGUGGGCUAUAAGACCCUCAUCCUUGCUUGCCUGAAAGGCAGUAUUCUGCUAGCAGCUUUCAGAUGAAGAUGUAGAACUUCUUCCUGGAUGCUGCCAUGCCUAUGAUGAUAAUGGACUGAACCUCUGAACCUGUAAGCCAGCCCCAAUUAAAUGUUGUCCUUUAUAAGACUUUCAUUGGUCAUGGUGUCUGCUCACAGCGGUAAAACCCUAAUUAAUACAGAAGUUGUAUCUGGCACACCCAGAAAUGCCACUGUGAUGCCAUUUAGUCAGGAAACUAGGUGCUUUGACCAUCAACAUGUGUACCUUGAUGUGACUUGAUCUUUGGUAGAACUUUAUUCCAAACAGAUGUCAGGGACAGUGACAUAGAAGCUUCUCAAAGUAAUAGAGUUGAUCUUAUAAAAGAUUUGCUAAUAGACUUGCCUAGGAGGUAUUAAAUCACACAAAAUAGAAUUCAGAUAAGGGAAUAACAUCUCCAAAAUACCACCAGGGUAAGCAACAAGCUAGCCAGGCCUCUUAGAGAUAGGAGAGAUUUACAAUGCUAGGGUGUAAAUGCUUGUUUACCGUGAUUGGCCUCCCAUUAGGCUCCACCCCCAAAGAACAUGCCUCUAAUAACAGCUAGCUCAAGGGAGCAGUGCCAGGUCACAACUGAUGCUAAAUUCCGGCCUGCCAUGAAGCCCCCGAUUCUCUCCUCGAGAAAAGCAUCAUCCUGCCAGAUGCACAAGAUGACCCCGGGUAACAUCUAUUUGAAAAGACCAACACUGGUGUACUUAAGAAAUCAUUCUGGCAAUAUCAUUUGCUGAGUAAACCUCCUGCCUUCCCCAGAGGCCAGACUUGUAGUCUCCUGUUUCUGUUUAAAGUGUUCAAAGUGCAACUCGAGGUCAAGACCCGCAGAACAUUUAAGCGUAAGUAAAAUAUACAAGCCUAUGGUGUGUGUAAGUUAGUAAAUCUUCUGUUCAGGAUCGACUCUUAUUUCAGUAUUAGCCCCAGUUGGUCAUGUGCUUAAGUAAACAGUUCACCUUCAUUUCUAAGAGUGUAGUGAUUAGUCACUGAGAAGGUGUUCAUUUCUACAACUGCACAGAGAUUGUCCACACAGACUCAAAAGCCUCUUUAGGUUGGUUUGAGUGUCGAUCUAUCCCUGUAGAACCUACUUCCCUGUGUCUUUCCCACUCAGCUUUCUUCUCCCCAGUGAGCCAGCCCCAGCUCUGAGGACUCACGCUCCUCUCUCAGACAGCCCUGGGAUUUUAGGAUGGAGUUUACAAGGAAAGAAAGGAAAGGCUUAUCUUUUCUUGAUCGUUUUCCCUCUAUUUUCAGAAAUCGAGUUUACUCCUUCAAUUAUUCUGAGCCUGGGAAGAAUCCUGGCACUCCAGCCUCAAGCUUUUUUGCAGGCUGGCACAAGCUGGAGCAAUCUAGAAAGAGAGAAUGUCAACUAAGGAAGUACCUCCAUCAGCUUGGUCUGAAGACAAGCCUUGGGACAUUUUUAAAUUCCUGAUUCACAUGUGAGGGCCCAGCCCACUGUGAGUGGCGUCACUCCUAGGCAUGCGGUUCUGGACUGUAUAGAAAGAUGGCUGAGCGAGCCAUGGAGAAAAGCCAUUAAACCCCAUUCCUUUGUGGUUUCUGCUUCAGUUCCUGCACUCAGGUUCCUGCUUUGAGUUCCUGCCCUGACUUCCCUUCAUGACGGACUUUCACCUGUAAACCAAAAUAAACCCCUUUCUCCUCAAGUUGCUUUUACACUGUCUGCAUCAUAGCAAUAGAAAGAAAACUAGAACAGCCAUAAGCUGUGCUAAUAUUCUGCUGUAUUUUUUCAAUUGCGUCUUUCCUCUAUAUAUUUUUAAU